UAAAUUUCUGGGGGAAGUGCUGGAACAAACAGCCAGUGCUGCAUCUGGGAUAUAUGCUCACGAUGACCCAGUGUAAACGCAAUAAAGCGCCUUGGGAUAUUUUGUAUUAAUUUGAACCCACAGCCAGGCGCCACCUUUCGGAUUCACUUCCAAAGCUUUCAAAGCACUCCAAAAACUGUCCACCAGGCUGGAUAUUUUAAACAAAGGGGAGGGGGUGUUGUUGAAACGAACCAUCUUUAUGUUGAAGCCUGGAACCUGCAGUCGGUCACAGUCUCGUAAGUUAGAAAACCUCCAUAUUUGGCUCUACACACUUUGAUCCCCCACCCCAGGAGUUUCCAGCUGAAAGACCCAAGACUUCCACACUGCCCUGUUCCUGGGUGUGAAAAACCCAGGAGUCCUGCCUGCUCAGCCCCCACCUCUUCGAGCUGGGAGGGGAACCCAGGCACCCGGAGAACCCUUCUAGGCCACAGAUGAACAGACUCUCGGCUCUCCAAGACCACCCAGUUCUUCUCCCGGAGAUGGAAGAGGAGGCUCUUACUUCCUAGCGACAAGCGUCUCCUCUGAGCAGAGGCUGUUUCCGACUCUCCACCGCAAACCACUAGACUUCUCUUCCCUCUCGCUUCAAAGCUGGACAUGGAAAACCGCGAUUCUGUGGAUGGGCAGACCUCUCCCCCUAUGCGCGCGGCGGCAGAGGCGCAGGGUCCCAACUGCUGUUCCAGACUCCCCUCCCUCUGGGGAGACAACCCAGGCGUCCUGGCGCUCCCGGAUCCGCCUCCCCAGCCCCCUGCCCGGCCCCGCUGGAGUUGGGAGGGGGAAGCAAGAGGAGGAUCGCCGACCCACCAAACCCCGAAACUCUCUCCUGAACAGUUGGGGGCUCAUUCGCCACAAAAGCUUCAGCUCCUACCAAUUCCGCAGCCUCUCGAGACUAGGGAAAAAGCGCACGCAUUAUUAGAUCCGGGCUCAAGGCGGGGGACCCCAUCGCCCUCCUGUCUCCGAUGCAAAGAGGGUUUGUUUUUUUACCUGCGCACUGGCGCCGCUUUGCUGUGCCCCCUCCCAGGAAGGGCUUUUCCGUCCCGGCCAGCCUCUGAGCUCCGGCAGCCGGCUCCAUCAACAAGUCCCCAGCCAGCAAGCCGCGGCGCUCCCAGGCAGCUCUCACCGCUUGGGCGCAAACAUUGCGCGCAGGAUCGGCGCUCGGAGAGGGGAUGUGCGCGCGCCCCUUUGAUUUUCGGAAUACCCUCUUUUUUCCUGCGAUCAAAAUUUUAAGUAUUUCCCCCUUUCAGUGUUCUCGCAUUCCUCCACCCGCCUUGCAAGACACCGGAUUCCCCUCAAGCGCAAAAUAAAGAAGGCGCGCGCGCGCGCAAUCCGCCUGCGCUGAGAUAUAAGCGCUCCGAUCUCAACUCGCUUCUCUUUAACUCCCCCAGCCAAGCUUUUGGCAAGAAAAACUCGCAGCACAAUGGAGGGGCGGGUCCCCUGGCCCCCUCCCUUCCCCAAGCCGCUUUGUUGCCACAGGAACAGCCAAUCCCGCGCCCAGAAACGCCUCUUGCGCCUUCCAAACUCACUAAUCAGAAAAGCGGAAAGGCAGGACUUGAGAGCUUUUAAAAGAGGGGGCGGGCGAGGCUAUGUGUGGAUUUAUAGCCAUCAAUGUCCGUUUCGUUUGCAAAGGCUUGUGGGAGAUGUAGUUCAGCCCCCGUGGGCCAAGGGCUCCUCUAUUGAUGCGGAGUGCCUCCUAGUGGAAUGGGCUGAUGAGCAGGUUGCAAAUGAUGGUGAUCUCUCUUCCCUCCCCAUUUUACAAAUGAUUAAUUGCCCCCCACCCUCAGAGCCAAAGGGGCCCCACCUGUCUUUCUAAAUCUAUUUUGAUAAUGCUGUUUUACUGGUUUUUAUGUUGUCUCUCCAUUCUGUUUUAUUAUAUAUUUAUUACCGUACAUUUAGUGGUUGCUUUUUAACCAAGGUAACUCAACAUGACACACAAACAAAGAAACACAUACAUUGAAAAGGAAAAACGAAUAAAAUCCUAUUUUUUCAAAGGCAGGAUUAAAACAUUCUAUCCAUGGGUAAUUAAGAGCCAAAGACCUGGUGAAAAAGAAAUAUUUUUGUCUGGAGUCAGAUGAUGAUUACAGGGUCCAGGUCGUUUCAGAUGGGGAGACGCAGACCAUGAGGUGUUAGGGUCCUGAGCCAUUUAAGGCUUUAUAGGUCAAAACCAGCACUUUGAAUUGGACCUGAAAAUCAAUGGGCUGCCAGCAACUUGGCCACCGAAUUCUGCACCAAGUCACCUUCAAAGGCAGUCCCACACAUAAUGCAUUGCAGUAAUCUAACCUAGAAGCUACCUACCAGAGCAUAGACAACAGAAGUUCGAAUGUUUCAUUUUUUGAACACCACUUAAAGAUUUUUACUGAGCAGUGUAUAAAUGUUUUAAAAUGAAUGAACUCCCUGAAUGAACUUUGGCUAUGCAAAGUCCAAUCCCAAACCCUCCAGGUGUCCUUUUCAUUCUGCAUUCAUGUGUAUUCUGCAACCUGCCAUUGACACGAUAAUAGCAUAUUGGUGGCGGAUUUCGACUGGACUGUCCACUCAUCAUUCCAUGUUAUUAGCUGCUCAGCAGUGCUUCUCUGUUAUUGCUGUCCGGAGGGGCACAGCAUAAUAAAAACUUAAACCUGAA